rnacentral:ncRNA from 1 species
CAGGACUAUACUACCAUCUUGCUAAGAGAUACCGCAGUGUACUUGAUACUCUAAAGACGGUUUACUCCCCAUGAAUCUCCUUAAUUUACCCCGUGUUCAAUGUUUCAUUACUUGAGACCGCUGAUAUUUAUUAGAUAAAAGACCAAUGCUUCUUCGGAAGCUCUUUGGUGAUUCAUGAUAACUUUUCGAAUCGCAUGGCCUCGAGCCGGCGAUGGUUCAUUCAAAUUUCUGCCCUAUCAACUUUCGAUGGUAGGAUAGUGGCCUACCAUGGUUUCAACGGGUAACGGGGAAUUAGGGUUCGAUUCCGGAGAGGGAGCCUGAGAAACGGCUACCACAUCCAAGGAAGGCAG